rnacentral:sRNA from 1 species
AAGAUGGCGUCUGCGAGGCCGCGGGAUGCGGAGUGAGCGCGCCCCGCCGGGGGCUGUGCGAGGCUGCUGCUCUCCCCGUCGCCGCCGCCGCCGCCGCCACUGCGGCGCCGCCUCUCCGCCAGCCACUGCGCCGCGGCCAAGCCUCCUGCCUCGCAGAUACAGAUGAAUAUAGACCUCCUGUUUGGAAAUCUUACUUAUAUCAGCUACAACAGGAAGCCCCUCAUCCUCGAAGAAUUACCUGUACUUGCGAGGUGGAAAACAGACCAAAGUAUUAUGGAAGAGAGUUUCAUGGCAUGAUCUCCAGAGAAGCAGCUGACCAGCUCUUGAUUGUGGCUGAGGGGAGCUACCUCAUCCGGGAGAGCCAGCGGCAGCCAGGGACCUACACUUUGGCUUUAAGUUGACAUCACUUGUUAGAAGAGCAACUCUGAAAGAAAACGAGCAAAUUCCAAAAUAUGAAAAGAUUCACAAUUUCAAGGUGCAUACAUUCAGAGGGCCACACUGGUGUGAAUACUGUGCCAACUUUAUGUGGGGUCUCAUUGCUCAGGGAGUGAAAUGUGCAGAUUGUGGUUUGAAUGUUCAUAAGCAGUGUUCCAAGAUGGUCCCAAAUGACUGUAAGCCAGACUUGAAGCAUGUCAAAAAGGUGUACAGCUGUGACCUUACGACGCUCGUGAAAGCACAUACCACUAAGCGGCCAAUGGUGGUAGACAUGUGCAUCAGGGAGAUUGAGUCUAGAGGUCUUAAUUCUGAAGGACUAUACCGAGUAUCAGGAUUUAGUGACCUAAUUGAAGAUGUCAAGAUGGCUUUCGACAGAGAUGGUGAGAAGGCAGAUAUUUCUGUGAACAUGUAUGAAGAUAUCAACAUUAUCACUGGUGCACUUAAACUGUACUUCAGGGAUUUGCCAAUUCCACUCAUUACAUAUGAUGCCUACCCUAAGUUUAUAGAAUCUGCCAAAAUUAUGGAUCCGGAUGAGCAAUUGGAAACCCUUCAUGAAGCACUGAAACUACUGCCACCUGCUCACUGCGAAACCCUCCGGUACCUCAUGGCACAUCUAAAGAGAGUGACCCUCCACGAAAAGGAGAAUCUUAUGAAUGCAGAGAACCUUGGAAUCGUCUUUGGACCCACCCUUAUGAGAUCUCCAGAACUAGACGCUAUGGCUGCAUUGAAUGAUAUACGGUAUCAGAGACUGGUGGUGGAGCUGCUUAUCAAAAACGAAGACAUUUUAUUUUAAAUUUUUAAUUUGAGGGGAAAAGAAAUGUUUUACAGAUGAAGGAAUGUUUUAUAGUAAUUUAAUUUGCUCCUGUAGCUGCAUUAUUUCUUGAUUAGAGGUUUGGGCAUAUAACCAGAUUAAAGUGAAGGAACUUUCUGUUGUUUUUGUAGCACCGCUCAGCUGUCUUGUAAAACAGUGAACACACGCUUUCUGGUUCUAGUAAUCCUGGGUGUUUAUCACGUUCAGAGAAACUCAAGCUAUUGCAUGAUUAGCCCCCUAUCUGGCAAGGAAACCCCAUACAGAAGAAACAACAAACCUGCGCCUGCACCGCCUCUGCGUCCUGGGUAGUCUGUGCUUGUAAUCCAGCAUGUUUCACAGAGUAAGCCUGUUGUGACUUUGCUUUUGGGGUCUAUGUCAUUGGUUUCUGAUGCUUGUACAAACACGCACUCACAAAUGGAUAAAACAGCACCUCUGGCUGUUGCAUUACCAUAAACCAUAUCACAUGCCUACAUUUUGCAAAUGAUUUCUGGUUUCUCUUAGUUCUUCUCUAACAUAGUACUUUCUUUCCAGCAAAAGCAAAAUGUGUUUUCAGAUUUGUUACUUUAAUAAAAGUUAUCCAUACCAAUAAAAAGUGUACAACAC